GGGGGAGGAUGCCUAAGGCAGUGCUGGUGACUGGGGUGAAGUCGUAACAAGGUAGCCGUACCGGAAGGUGUGGCUGGAUCACCUCCUUUUUAGGGAGACCUACCCAACUUUAAUAUCGAGGACACACAGUUAAUAGAUAUAAAGAUGGUCAUUCCUAGGUCGGUCGAGAUUGGUAAAUAGCUUUCAAAGUAUUAGUGGUUCAGUAAAUGUUUAGUUAAAACUAAAGAUAAAAUUCAGCAAAAUGGCAUUUUGCCAGACUGCUGGGUUAAAUCUCAGCCAGAACCUUGAAAACUGCAUAGGAAUGCGAAGCAGGCAAACACAGACAUUAGGAUGUGUAUGCAAAAAGAAAUGCGAAAUAGUGGUCAAGCUAAUAAGGGCUGACGGUGGAUACCUAGG
rnacentral:misc_RNA from 1 species